GUGUGUAUUAAAGGUAUCAGACAAUUAAUUGUGUUUGUCGGUGUUUGGUUAACACAUGGGCUUGCGCCCAAGUCUAUCAAAAGUACCAGAAAUGAUCCUUCCGCAGGUUCACCUACGGAAA
rnacentral:misc_RNA from 1 species